rfam:Clostridium sp. CAG:568 genomic scaffold, scf28
CAAUCCAAGCGACUGCUGGUAGCUUGUCUAUCAGAGGAAAGUCCAUGCUCACACGACCUGUGAUGGUCGUAGUGUUUGUGCCAGCUUAAAUGAUAAGGCUGGGCACCGGUUUAAGGGAGCCGGUGACGGCUGAGAACAACCCUAAAGCUUCGGCCAUGGGAAGUUCUCUCUAACGCUCCACAGUGACGAAACCCAUUGGAAACUUUGGGAGUGAAACGUGGAAAGCCCCGCAAGUGAGAAACCUAAAUUUUGGUAAGGGAGGCAUUCCUAGGAGAACCGAAUCCUUCGAAUGUGGGUGGUAACACUCAGAUAAAUUGUCGCUCUAGACAAAACAUGGCUUACAGGA